ACCUGAGUUUAGGAUUUCACUCUUCGGACUGUGUUCCACGCAAUGGAGUAGCACGGGUUCCUGCAAAUUUUCUUUUUGUCAAACUUCCAAGUUUAAGUUAGAAAUUCGUGCAGACACGACUUCUGAGGUCUCGGUGUAAUGACUCAUUGUACUUGGUGUUCAACUUAAACCGGACCAAAUGUAAACAUGCAUUGCUAGUAACGAAUACCUGAGGCAGCAGUGGAUAAUGACUAUGUACACUAUGUCUGCAGUAUAAAGUGAAAAGUGAAAACGU